AAGAUCAUACUUGUACAGGAUCACUUCUAUAGUGAUUUCUCCUGUCUAAUCAUACCCAAAUAUGACAGAUCUACCAACCUGGACGAUGACCGGAAAGGUGCCAUCGCUUAGCGUGAGACUGGAUCUGGCCAUUCUUUUGGCCAGCAUCCACGAUGAUCGUACCAUUUGCUAUCAUUCCAGCUUAUGGUUGCGAUGGCGCUAGUCUGACAG
rnacentral:snoRNA from 1 species